UACAGAGGGUGCAAGCGUUAAUCGGAUUUACUGGGCGUAAAGGGCGCGUAGGUGGUUGCGUAAGUGAGAUGUGAAAUCCCCGGGCUUAACCUGGGACGUGCAUCUUAGACUGCGUAACUGGAGUGUUGUAGAGGGUAGUGGAAUUUCCGGUGUAGCGGUGAAAUGCGUAGAUAUCGGAAGGAACACCAGUGGCGAAGGCGGCUACCUGGACAAACACUGACACUGAGGCGCGAGAGCGUGGGGAGCAAACAGG
rnacentral:rRNA from 1 species